UCAGGGAUGACAUCGUCGACGACGCGGUAGCCGCCAUUCUUGACAAGGAAGCGGACGGAGAAGGGGCCCUUGAGUUUUGCCCCGGUUUUGAGCGUCCAGGUGUUAGCCGAUGACUCCUUGAGCCCCGUCCAGUCACCGGUGCCCUUCUCCUUUACCUCCACCUCAGAGAUGGCGACAUUGGUGAUGAGGUUCAGGCUAGUGGUGCUAGAGCCUGGACCGACUUUGAAGGUGAGCUCAGUGGCGUACGAGCCGAUGACCAACAAUGCGGCCAUUGCCGUGGCGAGCAGGAAGGAUGACAAGGAGGCCAUUGGAUCGAUGAUUUUGGUGAUUGAUGUUGCAUAUGUGGGCAUGUAUUUAUGGGUGGCGAGGCAAGAAAGCUAAGCUAUGGAUGUAUGGUGCAAAUGGAGAUCGUUGGCCGGCUUGUUCUUCGACAAACACUUGUAAAAUUGCUAUAAAUAGAUCUAAGAUAGGUAGUCCCGCUUGUCUUUCUGUCAGGCAAAAUUAGCACAUGUCAUGGAGUGAUGUAGACCUCUCAAAAUGUAAAGGGCAUGCAAUCCUCAUAUCUAAUCCAAACAGGAAAAAUUAAUAAAACCAGACAUCCAACCACCCCCUCCCUCCCCCCCAAAAAAGCUUUGCAAUACCAAUUAUAUUACUCCUAAUGUGGUUUUAAUGGCAGAUCUGCAUAUUUUGGAGUUUAAACGAGCAGAUUUGAACAAAUAAUAUAACACAUACACACAUCACUAUCUUUCUCAAAUCUAAUCACGGUUGUGUCAUGCGGGAGUAAUUUUAGAAACGUAAUUAACGCAUCGUAUGUGUGUAUGUGAAGCUUUGCUUUGUUGGGGUUGCAACUGAGCUACUUUUUUAAGCUCGAUUGGAUACAGAAACCUAUAAAUGAGCUUAUUUUGGGAUGAAGGGUAUACAAGCUUUAGUUCUGUUGCGAUGGGUCAGCCUCGUCGAUGGCAUAUCGAUCCCACAUGGGCAGGGGGCUGCGGGCAGCACGAUGGGUCCGCUAGUUGAGAGGUUCAUUUGCUUGCAACUGAGCCAUGUUUUUCUUGAGCUCCUUUGUUUUGUUCCUUCUGAAAUUUUCAAUACAUGAAAACUCAAGGAGCUUGAUGGCGAUUCUCUUGAAUUUUGUGGUUCAAGAAAGCAGAUGGAUUGUUUUUUUUUUCCUGAACUGCUCAUUACAUAUGGUCCCGUUGAUUUUUUAUCUGAAUGUUUUGACAGAAUAAACUUUUUUUAGACUAGAUAUUCUUAAUUUUACUUGUGGCCACUAGCGUCAGCAGCUUAUUGAUUGUAUUCCCGUUGGAUAUCGGAAAUCCGCAUCCCGUCGUUGCACUUCACGAGCUGAUUCUUGAUUCGUUAAGUUACAGAUUUUGGAUGUAUUACAUUAUAGCUUUUUGUUUGCAGCAAGAUGGACAGCCAGCAGGGUCAGCCCAUGCAGGUGCUCGUGUUGGAGGCGACUGUGGGUGACAAAUAUCUGUCAACGAGGAGGAUCUGGGUCUCUAGGAAGCUGCAGUGCUGCAUCACCUCGACGUCUAUGUGUACAGGCCUUGUUUAGUUUGCGAAAAGAGAAAUUUAGGUGUUACAUUUGACCGGAUGUCGAAAGGGGUUUUCGAAUACGAAUUAAAAAAAAACUAAUUUCAUAACUCGUCUGGAAACCGCGAGACGAAUCUUUUGAGCCUAAUUAAACCAUCAUUAGCACAUGUGUGUUACUGUAGCACUUAUGGCUAAUCAUAGAUUAAUUAGGCUCAAAAGAUUCAUCUCGUGAUUUCCAUGCAAACUGUUAAAUUGAUUUUUAUUUUUGUCUAUAUUUUAUGCUCCAUGCAUGUGUCCAAAGAUUCGAUGUGACUUUUCGAAAAAAAAAUUGAGAACUAAACCAGGUCUAGCUAGUUGGUGUUGUAAUGUCCUUAUGUCCUGCUUGCCGGAUUCGUGCAGGCAUCAAUCUGAUUGAGUGUAACUUUCCUUUUGCAUGUCGACGUUGCCCCUUCGCCAGUGUGUCACCGGAGGCAGUUGAUUGAGUGUAAUUUCUACUGGUGUGAUUCAAGAGUAAAUCUUUUUAUUCAUAGGCAUUGAGAUGUGAUUUUCCCCUGUUUCCCAUAUAGGCGGUGGAAAAACAUUCAGCGCCACCUUUUUGUCAUGUAGAUUUUAAUAGGUGCCAUUUUAAUAAUUGUAUUACUAAUAUGGAUAGUAGGAGGUAUAAGAAUAAUUAAUACUUUUAGUGAACGAAUUACUGCAAAUAUUAUAUCAAUAGUAAAGUAUUUACUGUACAGAUAGAAGGUACAAGAGGGGCCCGAUUGAUAAAAUGUUAGUAAAAGAAUUACUAAUGAUAUUAAUCUCGAUAGUAAAAUAUUUACUAACGAUGCAUAAUGAGAAGAUAUUUUGCCGAGUGAUGAGAAAUGAUGGGAUGCCAAUGCAGAUAGUUUGCCAAGUGAUAAGAAAGGUUGGGAUGCCAAUGAAGAUUUUGUGGUAAGACCAAUAUGUUUUUAAGUUAUUUAUGUACUGACUAAAGACUAGUUAGGAGUAAUUUAUUUACUGAAUGAAGGUUGAAAGGGACGCAAAUGCAGAUUUUAUGGCAAGAUCAAUUGCUUAUAAGUAAUUUAUUUACUUAACAAAGACUAGUUUAGAGUAAUUUAUUUAUUAACAAAAGCUGGAAGAUAUAUGGUAGGAAGGUGCGGGAAGAAGAUGUGGGAACAGAAAAGGUGCGGGAGGGGAGAGGGGGUGGGGUGCGCAUCCAAGGUGUAGUUUAGUGCACAACCAUAUAUAUUAGAACUAUGGAAAAUCAAAUGUACACAACCAUCUCGAUGAAUGAUGGCCAAAUAUACCUUUUCCCAUAAAUCCUACAUAAACAAUAUAUUCAAAAUCGUGUGCACAUAUAGCUCCAUACCAAUAUGUGGGAAGGGCACAUGGUAUGCUUCAUUUUGUCAAUAGUCUGUUGUCACAAAAUAACAAUAGAAAUUUAACUAUUGACGUGUUCACAUGCAGACUCGGUCUCUCUUUUGAAUAGAUAAUUAUUUAGAGGCUAAUAAUUUCCAUGUGACCUAAUGCAAGGACAUGCAUGUCCAUUACUGGACCUGGAUGCCACUCUUGUAGACGGAGCCGGCCUUAAAGGUUUCGGGGAUUACAUCGUCGACGAUGCGAUAGCCACCGUUCUUGACAAGGAAGCGGACGGAUAAGGGGCCCUUGAGCGGUGCAUCACUUUUGAUUUUCCAGGUGUUAGCCGAUGACUCCUUGAGCCCCCUCCAGUCGCUGCCACCCUUCUCCUUGAUCUCCACCUCAGAUAUGGCGACAUUGGUGAUGAGUUCCAGUGUAGAGGUGGUAGAGGACUCACCGAUCUUGAAGGUGACCUCAGUGCCAGAUGAGCCAAUGACCAACAAUGCGGCCACUGCCGUGACGAGCAUU
rnacentral:lncRNA from 1 species